rnacentral:rRNA from 1 species
GACGAACGCUGGCGGCGUGCUUAACACAUGCAAGUCGAACGGUAAGGCCCUUCGGGGUACACGAGUGGCGAACGGGUGAGUAACACGUGGGUGAUCUGCCCUGCACUUCGGGAUAAGCCUGGGAAACUGGGUCUAAUACUGGAUAGAACCACUGCCUGCAUGGGUGGUGGUGGAAAGCUUUUGCGGUGUGGGAUGGGCCCGCGGCCUAUCAGCUGGUUGGUGGGGUGAUGGCCUACCAAGGCGACGACGGGUAGCCGGCCUGAGAGGGUGACCGGCCACACUGGGACUGAGAUACGGCCCAGACUCCUACGGGAGGCAGCAGUGGGGAAUAUUGCACAAUGGGCGCAAGCCUGAUGCAGCGACGCCGCGUGAGGGAUGACGGCCUUCGGGUUGUAAACCUCUUUCAGCACCGACGAAGCGCAAGUGACGGUAGGUGCAGAAGAAGGACCGGCCAACUACGUGCCAGCCGCCGCCGUAA